AGGAGGAGGUCCUCUGAGCCCUGAGGCAGAGAUAUCUCACCUGGAAGAUGGGUCUAAUGACUGCACCCCACACACACCAGAGAGGACUGCAGAUAGUGCGGGGUGAGAGGAAGAUCUCUGGCCCUGGAGACAGCAUCAUCAAGCGAAAACAUAUGAGGAAGAAAAUAGCAGAUGAGAAGAAUCAACCAAAUUCCGGAAGCUGGAAGGCAGAUGCAAGAAGGCCCUUGAAUGAUGCCAGCACCUUGAUAUUGGACUUUCCAGCCUCCAGAACCAUGAGCCAAUACAUUUCUGUUCCAUAAAAAUUACCCAGUUCCAGGUAUUCUGCUAUAGCAGCACAAAAUGGACUAAAACAAUGUUGGCACAAGACUCAGUGCUGGGCCUGGCAUGCAACAGGUCCUUGGAGUGGCGUGCUGUGUGGAUAAUGAAUAUUGGGGAAGGCAUCUCUCUCCAGCCCCUCUCAAGCUUUCUGUAGUCACUGGUCCACUCUGUAUUGCUAUGAAGAAGCUCAAGACCAGCCUGUAUCACUCGGGGUCCUGGCAGGAACCAGGUGCCACACUCAAACUGAGUAAUUGAAGAGGGUUUAAUAUGGGAGUUAUUUACAAAGGUGUGGGCUGGUGUAGCUGCCCAUAUGCCCUCGAAAUCACCUCUACAUGGCAAUAGCUACUUACUGCUAACAGAGUCUCUCUCUCUCAUUGCUGCAAAUAUUUUCUAGCCAUGCAAGAAACUCAGCCAGUCAUGUUGAACAAACUAAGAGUGCCAGAAAGUUAAUGUCCUGGAAGCAUUGCCAGAGGGGAGGGGGCAGUUAGAUUCCCCAGCUUCCUCGCUCCUCAGCUGGGUUAAGCCUGCAACAUAUUCAUCAUCUCCCAGAGUGCUGCCCAGGGAUAGAGCUCCAGGUGCUCAGUGUGGUGACCUGCUCAUGUCAGCUUCUUCCCCUUUCCUGUCUUGUUUCGCACCCACAUCCUUCCCAUGUUUCCUCUUCCCAAAUAAACUACUUGCAUUGAAA
rnacentral:lncRNA from 1 species